GAUGAACGCUGGCGGUAUGCUUAACACAUGCAAGUCGAACGGACGCUUCGGAGUUAGUGGCGGACGGGUGAGUAACGCGUGAGAAUCUGGCUUUGGGUUCGGGACAACCACUGGAAACGGUGGCUAAUACCGGAUGUGCCGAGAGGUAAAAGAGAAAUUGCCUGAAGAUGAGCUCGCGUCUGAUUAGCUAGUUGGUGAGGUAAAGGCUCACCAAGGCAGCGAUCAGUAGCUGGUCUGAGAGGAUGACCGGCCACACCGGGACUGAGACACGGCCCAGACUACUACGGGAGGCAGCAGUGGGGAAUUAUCCGCAAUGGGCGAAAGCCUGACGGAGCACUACCGCGUGAGGGAAGAAGGCUCUUGGGUUGUAAACCUCUUUUCGUAGGGGAGAACAAAAUGACGGUACCUAAGGAAUCAGCAUCGGCUAACUCCGUG
rnacentral:rRNA from 1 species